rnacentral:rRNA from 1 species
AUUGAACGCUGGCGGCAGGCCUAACACAUGCAAGUCGAGCGGAUGAAGGGAGCUUGCUCCUGGAUUCAGCGGCGGACGGGUGAGUAAUGCCUAGGAAUCUGCCUGGUAGUGGGGGAUAACGUCCGGAAACGGGCGCUAAUACCGCAUACGUCCUGAGGGAGAAAGUGGGGGAUCUUCGGACCUCACGCUAUCAGAUGAGCCUAGGUCGGAUUAGCUAGUUGGUGGGGUAAAGGCCUACCAAGGCGACGAUCCGUAACUGGUCUGAGAGGAGGAUCAGUCACACUGGAACUGAGACACGGUCCAGACUCCUACGGGAGGCAGCAGUGGGGAAUAUUGGACAAUGGGCGAAAGCCUGAUCCAGCCAUGCCGCGUGUGUGAAGAAGGUCUUCGGAUUGUAAAGCACUUUAAGUUGGGAGGAAGGGCAGUAAGUGAAUACCUUGCUGUUUUGACGGUACCAACAGAAUAAGCACGGGCUAGCUUCGUG